GAAGCCGGAAUUGCUAGUAAUGGCAGGUCAGCAUACUGCCGUGAAUACGUUCCCGGGCCUUGUACACACCGCCCGUCACACCAUGAGAGUUGGGAAUACCCGAAGCCUGUGAGCUAACUAUAUGAGGCAGCAGUCGAAGGUAGAAUCAAUGAUUGGGGUGAAGUCGUAACAAGGUACC
rnacentral:rRNA from 1 species